CCCCUUUCAGCCCAAGUGCUAAAAACAGCCCAAUAAAAGAAGGAAGUUUAAAUAUAUGACAUAGUUCUUUCCAAUUACUAAAAACAGGAUUUCCUACGGUACUCUCUCUUCUUCUUGCUUUCCAAAAAACCACCGUUUCCAUGUUUCCAUCUCCUUUCUUAGAUUCUUUGGUCUUUCUCCAACUAUGAUUGAUCGAUCUCCCACCUUGGUAUGACUGAGUUUUACCAGCUCACAAAGGUACACCUCUUUUUCUUCUUACGUCUACCUCCUGCUUUGUUUCUAACCUUUCAUUUUGUGUAGAUGUGAAUCCAGUGGAGGUGUUUUUAGUUCUUGGUGAACUUUUGUUGGGAUUGAACCAAUGUACUCCUUCCGGGAGCUCGAGGAUCACUCCCCUGAGGCGAGUUGCUGAAUCAGUUCGGAGACCCCCUUUUACUGGUCCUUUUCUGUAAGCUGGAACAGUUUAAACUAGGAGGCUUUGUCCCAAUUAGGUAGCUUUCAUGUAAUCCAACCUGUAAUACAUAAAUAUGACAACUAUGUUUUUCUGAUUUUUGCAUCAUCGUUAUCAGCAUGUUUGCACUAUCCUUCUGGUCUUGAUUCGCAAUGCUGGUAUUUGCUGCUUGUCUAUAUUGAUGAUUUUCCUGCCUCUGCUAGAUAGAUCAUAAAAGUUAUGUGCAUGUAUUGUCCCUGCUUGCUCAAUCUCUAGAUUAGCUAGAUAGUCUGCCAAGGAAUUAGCCUCUCUGAAUAUAUGUUUGAUAUUGACUUGUUUCCUUGUUAUGAUCUUUUGUAUCUCUUUUAUCUUUUUUGCAUACUCUCACGGGAUUUUCCACUGCCUAGUUAAUAUGUUCUUAAUCGUUAAGGAGCCUGUUUCUAGGAUAAUCUUCUCAAAGCUUUUCCUCUUACAAUAUUGCAUCGCCCUUCACACUCCCAUAACUUUAGCAUCUAUAUUUGUGGCUAGCCCAAUAUGUUGGGCUUCUGCAUACAGUAACUCACCUCUACUGUCCCUUAUACUGAAUCCAUAUGAGCUCUGUCUCAGGUUACCUCUGCAG
rnacentral:lncRNA from 1 species